rnacentral:rRNA from 1 species
UGGGGAAUUUUGGACAAUGGGCGCAAGCCUGAUCCAGCAAUGCCGCGUGAGUGAAGAAGGCCUUCGGGGUUGUAAAGCUCUUUCAGUCGAGAAGAAAAAGGCUGCAGUGAAUAACUGUAGUUUAUGACGGUAUCGACAGAAGAAGCACCGGCUAACUACGUGCCAGCAGCCGCGGUAAUACGUAGGGUGCGAGCGUUAAUCGGAAUUACUGGGCGUAAAGGGUGCGCAGGCGGUUUUGUAAGUCAGAUGUGAAAUCCCCGGGCUUAACCUGGGAAUUGCGUUUGAAACUACAAGACUAGAGUGUGGCAGAGGGAGGUGGAAUUCCAUGUGUAGCAGUGAAAUGCGUAGAGAUAUGGAAGAACAUGAUGGCGAAGGCAGCCUCCGUGGGUUAACACUGACGCU